ACAUCGUCAACGCAGGUCAAAGCGUAGUAUCUGUUCUUAUAAGCUUCAUCUCUGAUAGGGGUUCUAUAUGGACCCAAAACUAUUAAAUGUAUUUCAGGAAGUUGGCGGAGCGCUUGAAGCCUUCUUCACCUCCGCCGCAGGUCGGACUCGUAUUGCACUUUUUCAGGGAUCGGCCCAUCGGUU